GAGGACGCACGCGGCCAGCCGGGAGGCGCGCGCUUUCCCCUCCCCCGCGGCCCGGAGCGCGAGCCGCCGUGACGUCAGGGGCCGCCCGCCUGCCCCGCGCUCCAGCGGGCAGAGCGCGUGCGGCCGCCGAGCACAUGGGCCCGCGGCCCGGGCGGACUCGGGGCGGCGGGGCCCGGGGGAACGGCGAGGGGCCGCGAGCGAGGAUGAGUCCCGGCACGCCCCCGCCCCGGACCCCCUCGAGUGGAUUUCCACGCGGAAAGGAUGUUGGCGGUCCCGGUGACCUGCGGAGACACGGUUGGAGCCACCUUUCAGCCUGAUCUUUUGACCAGAAAGGAAUUAAAAAGAAGGUCCUGCAUGAUGGCUGCACCUGUCAGCUGCAAGGAGCUUCCUUUAAGGAUCUUCUGAGUCUUGUGGGUAAACUCCAGGAGUUGGUGAUGGACAGGGAGGUCUGGUGUGCUGCAGUCCAUGGGGGUCGCAAAGAGUAGGAUGCGACUGAGCGACUGAACUGAACUGAACUGAGUCUUGUGGAUUUACAGCGAUACUCAGCCGCCUGCGUGGGGACUGAUGCUGGUGGAAGCAGGCUCUCAGGGACACACACCGGCCACAUUUCUGGAUGCUCAUGGUGGUUUUAGGAGGGCCCUGGCUGAGCACCUCGUGGAUUCCUGCAGCCUGGAUGAAGACAGGAGACAGAGGACCGACGCUUCCUGCCUUUCUCACUGACAGGAAUGUUCAGUUGGAGCUCUGCCAGCUCCCCUGGGGGCUGCCUCUGAAACGGAUGGAUGAAAGCAUGAAGGAAAGACAGAGGAGCAGUUCAAGAUGGAUUUUCUCAGGUGGUCAUGAAACAGUGGGGCUUCCUGCGUAGCUCAGUCAGUAAAGAAUCUGCCUGCACUGCGGGAGACCUGGCUUUGAUUCCUGGGUUGGGAAGAUCUCCUGGAGAAGGAAAUGGCAACCCACUCCAGUAUGCUUGCCUGAAGAAUCCCAUGGACAGAGGAGCCUGGUGAGUCCAUGGGGUUGCAAGAGUUGGACAUGACUUAGCUCUGUCUUUCUUUCACGAACAGUGUAGGGCAGGUAAAAACACUUUUGUUGUGUGAGUUUUCUUUCCAUCCUGUUUGCACGACUUCAAAGGUGAGUCCUGAAGGCAGUCAGCCCUGUUCACUUCUCUCCUAGCAGCAGCUUCAUCAAACUCCCACAGAAGUGGUGGAGUCCUAGCCUUCUGCAGGCAGAUCAGUGGAUUCCUAUUAACUCUGUGCAGAUGCGAUGUUUGGGGUCAGUUUCCCUGGUGAGUACGGAGUAUGGCUUCGCUAGCUGCAUCUUAGGCACUUCUCCCAUUAUCAGUUAAAAACAACCACAUACACACAAUUGUGUCUUGAUAAGAAUGUGCAUACAUGCACAUGUAUACCACAUGCACGUGUGCACACAAACGCAUGUAUAUAUGUUUGUUUACCCCUCAUGCAUGCGAGGGUAUUGUGCUAAGUUAUCUCCAUACUUGAUUUUACUGUGGUGUCGGAGAAGACUCUUGAGAGUCCCUUGUCCAUCCUAGAGGAAAUCAGUCCUGAAUAUUCAUUGGAAGGACUGAUGCUGAAGCUGAAACUCCAGUACUUUGGCCACCUGAUGCAAAGAACUGACUCAUCUGAAAAGAUCCUGAUGCUAGGCAAGAUUGAAGCCAGGAGAAGAAGGGGAUGACAGACGAUGAGAUGGUUGGAUGGCAUCACCGACUCGAUGGACAUGAGUUUGAGUAAGCUCCGGGAGUUGGUGAUGGACAGGGAGGCUUGACGUGCUGCAGUCCAUGGGGUCACAAAGAGUUGGACACGACUGAGUGACUGAACUGAGCUAAACUGAAUUGAAUUUUUCUUUGUGUUGAC
ensembl:lncRNA